AUAUUCUUCGCUAUCUAAGCUGUCACAACUUACUUUGGUCACCGUUGGAAGAGGUCAAAUAUGUGACUGAUAAUUACUUUCAGUUUACUCACUUUAUUUUUGCUGUUGUGUAUGUACACACUUCUUUCCAGCAUUAGAAAUUUCACAGUAUUUGACUCCUGUAGUCAAGAAGCAUAAACAGCUAAACAGCCAUGGUUCUCCAGAUGAAUCACCACCCUGGACAGAUGUCUUGCAUCUAUUAGGAGAUGCUCAAUUUUGUUCUUGAAAUAAGAAGAGCAAAUGAAGUAUCACCCCAGAAACCAAGCUCUUCAAGAAAAAGGAAGUGUAAUGUUAAUCAGUGGAAAAAAUUUUAGGCCAAACGUCGACAUAAUUCGGGUCAGCAGUAAGUGUCUUCUGAAACCAAUAAAACUGUUCAGGCAGCAUCUUUGUGAAGUCCCUGUAGUUGUUCUAAUAAGUGCUAUACGAAACUACUGGGAGAAGAAGAAAAUAUUUUCCACUCAUUUUGGGACAUAGGAAACUUUAAUGCCCAUAACACUUACCUAAUGUGUUGUGUGAAAAUGGUACCAAAAAAGCAAGGUUCGUUUCACUUUUUUGAGACACGAGUGGACCAACUGUCACAAAUUUACUUUACCUAGUUCUGCUUCGCAUUUAUUUAUUUCACAGCUAUUGAAAAAAGACUACAAAGCGAAUUUCAUCUAGAGUUGUGACAUUUUAAUGCAGUGUAAAAAUAAAUGGAUUUGAAGUCAUGAUUUGCAACAGCAAAUGAAGGUGGGUCACGCAUUUCCAAAAGAAGAAGGAAGAGACAAACAUGGCACUCAUCCACACAAAUUUCAAGACGAAGCUGUGAAAGGUGUCAGAGAUUUCAUCCACGCUAUAUCAAAAUAUAACAGUCACUACAGCAGGCAGCAGAACCUCAACAAAGUACAUUUUGGAUGUGAUCUCACAAUUGCAUUCUUGUUUAGGGACAAAUACUCCGAAUACUGCAAGGAAAAGGGUGUCCCUACUGUACCACAAAGCAAAUUCAGGGCAAUUUUUGUGUCCGAAUUUAACAUAGGCUUCAAACUGUCGAAAAGCAGCACCUGUUCUACAUGUGAUGCCUUUCUAAUGGUAACAGGAAACUCAGGAUUAUUUGCAGAAGAAAUUACACAUAGGAAAAAACAACGUGAGUUGCAUCUAAGAAAUGCUGAUAGUGGGCAAAAUAUGAUUGUGUCUUUAUCUUCUCUGGCUAAAGAGAAUCUGAAAGAACACCACAUAAUAGCAAUUGACAUGCAACAAACGUUUCCCGCGCUAGAACUCACAGCUGGCCCAGCAUUCUACAUGAGAGAAAUAUAAAUGUGUAACUACAGUAUCCACGAUUGUGGGUCAGGUAAGGGAUACAUAUUUCUGUGGAGUGAGAAGGAUGGACAAAGGGAGCAGAUUAUUAAAAUACUUGGGGAUAACUAACUCUCAAGCUAAAAAUCUCCACAUAAUCACAGAUAACUGUAAGGGCCAGCCAAAGAUUUGGUCUCUUAUUGCCCUGGAAAGAACUCUCAUUGCCACCAAAAGAUCUGAAUCUGUGCAACAUUAUAUCCCCGUGGUAGGUCAUACUAGAUUUCCUUGUGAUCGUGAUCUUGGUCGCAUUGAAAUUUAUGCAAGAAACAAACGUCCAAUAGCAUACACAUCAGACGAAUGAGCAGAAGUAGUCAAAUCUGCUAGUCCAAAAAAUUUCAGUGUGACGAAAAUGCACAGACCAGACUUCAGAAGCUUGGGAGAUCUGAAGUCAUUAAUCUAUAUACCCACUCUAUUAACAUCUGGAGAUUCCAUUCGUUUUAGUGGAGCGGCUCAGUUUAAGUUUGAGUGUAAAGAUCCCUUCACGCUCGCACUAAGCGUGGAGCUCUGCUACCCACAUAUAGGAACCUUCAAGUCGGUGGAUCUACGUAGCGAGAGGAAAGGAACACCAGAUGAACUAGAUCUAUUUCAGCUGUAAAUAAAAUAUAGAAAGCGACUUCAAAUUAAUCAGAAAAAGACUGAUGACAUACUGUCUCUUGUGGGAGACAUACCUGCAGCAUAUCAAAGCUUUUUUCGGUCAUGUGCUGGAAAUAAUGUGAACGAUGAUAACGUAGAAGAACUUCCUUGAUUUCACAUUUACAGUGUAAAAUGAAGUAUUAAACUGACUUAUCUGUUAUGUAUAUGUGUAUGUGAAAGUGCAAAAAUUGCUAGUUCUUAUACAAUUAAAAAAAAACCUUAAAAAUGUA